rnacentral:lncRNA from 1 species
UUUGGUUUAGGGUUUAAGGUUUGGUUAGGAUUUGAUUUAGGAUUUAGGAUUUAGUUAGGAUUUAAUUUAAGGUUAGGAUUUAGUUAGGGUUUGAUUUAGGAUUAGGAUUUGGUUAGGGUUUGAUUUAGGAUUAAGAUUUGAUUUAAGAUUUAGGAUUUGGUUUAGGGUUGGUUAGGAUUUGAUUUAGGAUUUAGGAUUUGAUUAUGAUUAGAUUUAAGAUUUAGGAUUUAGUUUAAGUUUUAGGAUUUGAUUAGGAUUUGAUUUAAAAUUUAGGAUUUUAUUUGAAUUUAUUUAGGAUUUAAGAUUUAGUUAGUUUUUGGCCUAAAGUUUGAAUGAAGUCCAAUAGGAUUUUUACUAGAAUUAAAUUAAGAUUGAAUUGAGAUGUGUUUGAGAUAUGUUUGUAAAUAUUGUAAUAUUUCUCUAAGAUUUCUUAUUGCUUCUUUAGAAUUCCUUUGAUGUUUUUCUGAAUUUGAUUAAAGCUUGUUUAGCAUUGUUAGUAUUGUAUUAGAAUUUGGUUUCUGUUGUUGGAAUUUUGAUUCUACAUUCCACAGCCAAG